rnacentral:rRNA from 1 species
GACGAACGCUGGCGGCGUGCUUAACACAUGCAAGUCGAACGGAAAGGCCCUGCUCUUGCGGGGUGCUCGUGUGGCGAACGGGUGAGUAACACGUGAGUAACCUGCCCUUGACUUUGGGAUAACUUCAGGAAACUGGGGCUAAUACCGGAUAGGAGCUCCUGCUGCAUGGUGGGGGUUGGAAAGUUUCGGCUGUUGUGGAUGGACUCGCGGCUUAUCAGCUUGUUGGUGGGGUAGUGGCUUACCAAGCCUUUGACGGGUAGCCGGCCUGGGAGGGUGACCGGCCACAUUGGGACUGCGAUACGGCCCAGACUCCUACGGGAGGCAGCAGUGGGGAAUAUUGCACAAUGGGCGGAAGCCUGAUGCAGCAACGCCGCGUGCGGGAUGACGGCCUUCGGGUUGUAAACCGCUUUCGCCUGUGACGAAGAGUGAGUGACGGUAAUGGGUCAAGAAGCACCGGCUAACUACGUG